rnacentral:rRNA from 1 species
UUGAACGCUGGCGGCGUGUCUAAGGCAUGCAAGUCGAACGAGUGACUUUCGGUAGCAAUACUGGAAGUCGCUAGUGGCAAACGGGUGCGUAACACAUUGGCAAUCUGCCUCGAAGUCGGGUAUAACUCCCCGAAAGGAGAGCUAAUUCCACGAUGGUCAUGCGGGGACAAAAGUCAUUCGCAUGUAAAGUGCAAAACACACUUCGAGAGGAGCCUAUGGCCUAUCAGCUUGUUGGUGAGGUAAUGGCUCACCAAGGCUAUGACGGGUAGGGGAUGUGAGAGCAUGAUCCCCCUCACUGGGACUGAGACACUGCCCAGACACCUACGGGUGGCUGCAGUCGAGAAUAUUCGGCAAUGGACGAAAGUCUGACCGAGCGACGCCGCGUGCAGGAUGAAGGGUUUCGGCCUGUAAACUGCUUUUUUCAGGGACGAAUCUAUGACGGUACCUGAAGAAUAAGAGGUUGCUAACUCUGU